GGGUUUUGGCUCAGUGGUAGAGUGCUUACCUAGCAUGUGUGAGGCACUGGGUUUGAUUCUCAGUUCCA
rnacentral:tRNA from 1 species